ACCAGAGGGAGCCAGGGCUGCAGCCGCAUCUGUUUGCAGAUCAGAACCCGAGCUGUGCUUGUGGCUGCGGCUGCUAACUGGCUGAGCACAGGGAGCUGUCAUCAUGCCUCAGUCGUACCCAGCCCUUUCUGCUGAGCAGAAGAAGGAGUUGUCUGACAUUGCCUUGCGGAUUGUAGCCCCGGGCAAAGGCAUUCUGGCUGCGGAUGAGUCUGUAGGCAGCAUGGCCAAGCGGCUGAGCCAAAUUGGGGUGGAGAACACAGAGGAGAACCGUCGGCUGUACCGCCAGGUCCUGUUCAGUGCUGAUGACCGUGUGAAAAAGUGCAUUGGAGGCGUCAUUUUCUUCCAUGAGACCCUCUACCAGAAAGAUGAUAAUGGUGUUCCCUUUCUCCGAACGAUCCAGGAUAAGGGCAUCGUCGUGGGUAUCAAGGUGCAGCCCCUGGCCCUGCUCUGAAUGGAAGCUGGGUGUGAAAAUAAGCUUGUGUAGGAGGGGUAGCAAGGAGAAUCCUGCCUGGAUUCAACUCUCUGCUUGUGCUUCCUCUACAGGUUGACAAGGGUGUAGUGCCUCUAGCUG
rnacentral:sRNA from 1 species